UCUUCUUAUGGCUGAGCAAAGACCUAACUCAUCGAGAGGCUCAGCCUCUCAAAGCUGGAUUAGUCAAUGCAGAGAUGGGGCAAGUGGAGUAGUUGCAGGGUUGGCCAGGAGCCCAGCAUGCACCCCUUCCCACAGAUCCAGGACAGGGAUCUGGACGGCUGUGGGUUCAGGUCAACAAAUGUCCAUGGAGUCACCCAGCAAUCCAAGGCUCUCAGCAGAAGGUAGACAGUGUGACUUGGCUGCAGGCUUUGCCAUUUGCUGCCUGUGAGACACAAGCAAGUAGGCGAAGGCGGUACUGUCGGCUACAUGGAGAAGGAAGGAGAGGAGAAUGCUAGCUGCACUCCCUGGCCACACGCAAACAGAUGCAGCACGAAGCCUUGGGAACCUUGGCAAGGGAUUUAAACAAUCUUCCUCUAAUGCAUAUAACAUGGUGCUGCUGGACUUCCCAGAAUAGGAUUUUAGGAUGGUUCCGAGGGUGGAACCUGGUAACUCCUGGGAGCACCUCUCUGCUUGGUCUGCUCUGGGGGUGGGCUGUUGGCCCAUCUGUGGCUAGCCUCAGGAUAGAGAGGGAAAGGAGCUGCAGCAGCUGCCAUGACGUGUUGGGAAGGGAACUGUCAUGUUUGCAGCAGCCCUGGUGGGUCUGAUGUUUUCUUAAUUAUCCUUCAAGCUCCAAAAGCACAUCCAUGUCUCUGGGGACACAUACAAGCCAUGUCACUUUAUGUUCCUUUGGAACGAUGUCUUUUUGGACUGUCUUAUAGUUGUUGUCCAGGGCCAAGUGAUAUAUCCUCACUCUUCUCUGAAA